CUGGGAGGCGGAGGUUACAGUGAGCCAAGAUCACGCCAUUGCACUCCAGCCUGGGUGACAGAACGAGACUCCGUCUCCAAAAAAAAAUAAAAUAAAAUAAAAUUAAAAAAUAAAAAUGUACUGCAAUGUUAUGAUAGUAUGAGCUCAUGUUGCUAGGAAGUGUGUGUGUGUGUGUGUGUGUGUGUGUGUGUGUGUGUGUGUCUGUGUGUCUGGGUUGAAAAAAUAAAGAAUAUGUUCUAAAAUAUUACUAGUGGUUAGGUCUGAGUAGUGUUAAUUGUGGAAAUUUGGGGGAUUUUGUGUGUUUUUCUGUUCUCCAAAUUUUCUUUAUCUUGUCUUUUAUAACGAGAAAAAAAUUCUUCACAAAAAAAUAACUUAAAUAAACAUAUUUUAAGAAGAAACCUUCUCCUCGGUCUCUGGCGCCCAUAACCUUCAGGCUGAAUUAGCGUGUGCUGAGUGGUCAGAGUUCAGGGCUGGAAAGCAGGGUUUGGGUUUUGUUUGUGGUCAGUCCGAGACUAGUGAAGGCUCUCCUUAUCCCUGACAGUCUUCAGAGCCCAGGCUCCGGGGAGUGACAAGACCUUGGAGAGUUAACGAGGACAAGCUUUCCCUGAGAGAAGCAUCCGCCCCCGGGUGCACCUUGUAAAGGACCCAGGCCCAUGCCGGAGCCCACCAGCAGUUAGGCCCGGUCAGUUUCUGCUGCUUUCAACCAAAGAACCAUGUGAUUCACCAUUCAGAUUGGAGAACAGGAGAAAUAAAGGAAGAAAGGAAGCCAGCUUUUAGUGCAGGCCUGCUAUGUACAGGCAUUGGGCUAGGUCUUCUGGAAGAUGGCAGAACCCAAGAGAGAUGAGACAUGAUGAAAACGUAGACAAGACAUUGGAACAUUUUU
rnacentral:lncRNA from 1 species